ACUGGUUCCUACCUUCUGACGAACCAUCAUGUCAUUCAUUUGGUGUGGCGGGGAAUCAGGACUGUUACUUUGAAAAAAUUAGAGUGUUUAAAGCAGGCUCGCGCUUGAAUACAUUAGCAUGGAAUAAUGAAAUAGGACGUUGAUCCUAUUUUGUUGGUUUCUAGGAUUGACGUAAUGAUUAAUAGGGAUAGUUGGGGGCAUUAGUAUUCAAUUGUCAGAGGUGAAAUUCUUGGAUUUAUUGAAGACUGACUACUGCGAAAGCAUUUGCCAAGGAUGUUUUCAUUAAUCAAGAACGAAAGUUAGGGGAUCAAAAACGAUCAGAUACCGUCGUAGUCUUACCAUAAACUAGCCGAGGGGGACGGAG
rnacentral:rRNA from 1 species